UACAGAGGUCCCAAGCGUUGUCCGGAAUCAUUGGGCGUAAAGAGCGUGUAGGUGGCUCGGUAAGUCCGCUGUAAAAGUCCAGGGCUCAACCCUGGAAAGCCGGUGGAAACUGUCGAGCUAGAGUCCGGAAGAGGCGAGUGGAAUUCCUGGUGUAGCGGUGAAAUGCGCAGAUAUCAGGAGGAACACCAAUGGCGAAGGCAGCUCGCUGGGACGGUACUGACACUGAGACGCGAAAGCGUGGGGAGCAAACAGG
rnacentral:rRNA from 1 species